rnacentral:lncRNA from 1 species
GAGGGACAGAUAAUCCUCACAUUGGAGAUGACCCUGGCAUAUUUAUUACGAAGAUUAUUCCAGGAGGUGCUGCAGCAGAGGAUGGCAGACUCAGGUAGGACUCCUGGCUUCCUGCAGAUGAUUCUAAGAAGAGCAUGCAGAAGUGUGGGUGGGCUUCAAAGAGAGCAGAGGUACCAAAGAUGGAAAGAAAGUCCUGGAUAAAUGCUGGAGAUCAAUGCACGUGAUGGAUAUGGAACAGUAAAGGAAAGAAUGAACUAAGAGAAAGUGGGUGGAUAACGGUACUUUGUUAUCUGAGGAGCUGUGAAAACUGUAUACAAGGCUUCUUUUCUCAUAAAACCAGCAUUUGAGUGAGGGAUUUGGAACAUGAUAUGUGCAACAAAAUAAAUAUACGAGUAUUACAUGUG